rnacentral:rRNA from 1 species
AAGAAUGGCCAUGACCUAAUACGUCAUGGAUUGACUUAACCCGGAGAGGAAGCAGUGGCUAACUCUGUGCCAGCAGCCGCGGUAAUACAGAGACUGCAAGCGUUAUUCGGAUUCACUGGGCGUAAAGGGUGCGCAGGCGGUUAUGUGUGUUAGGUGUGAAAGCCCGAGGCUCAACCUCGGAAUUGCGCCUAAAACUACAUGACUAGAGUACCGGAGAGGAUAGCGGAAUUCACGGUGUAGCAGUGAAAUGCGUAGAUAUCGUGAAGAACACCAGCGGCGAAGGCGGCUAUCUGGAAGGUAACUGACGCUCAGGCACGAAAGCGUGGGGAGCAAAAGGGAUUAGAUACCCCUGUAGUCCACGCCCUAAACGGUGCACACUAGGUGUUAGCGGAUUCGACCCCGUUAGCGCCCAAGCUAACGCGUUAAGUGUGCCGCCUGAGGACUACGGCCGCAAGGCUAAAACUCAAAGGAAUUGACGGGGG